GCUGGAGUUACUAAAGUAUUGUCAAUCUUACGGUUCGAACUAGAGACAGCUCUAGGCAUUUCAGGUUGCACCAAUAUUCAAGACAUUCCGCCAUCAUUGAUAGCUCGGAAAUCUUACCUAUGAAUUCACCCUCAUCGAUCGAACUCCGUCCAGCUGACAGGAAGCUAGGAGGCACACGGAUGCCACUCCUGUUCAUCCGAAAACAAUCUGGAACUUCGGAGCUGGUUAAGACCUAAACCCUACCCCCAACUCUCUAUCUCUUUCUCUCUCUCAACUGAUUGGUCGAUCAGAUACACCCUAAAGUAAAGCGUAAGAAUUUUUAUUUGGGAUUUUUCGUUAAUUACUAAUUACGUAGCAUGUUUUGUAAAAUGGAACAUGUGAUUAUGUAAUUGUAAUUUAAAAAAACAUCUUUUAAGAUCAAACUGGUUUAUUCCGAUUAGGAUGAAAACCAAACUGACAGAAAAACAGGGUCGACGUCCCACGGCCAACUCUCUCUCUUUUUGUAUUCGAACCUAUGGAUCGAACGCCCGAAGUUGUGUGGAUGCACGUGUUCGGUGGGUGUGCUGUGUGUGCGCGUAUGUGUAUGUGUGUAUAACUAUGUACCUCUGUAAUUUCGUGUGCUAACUCUUCGUGCAAAAUCGGCAUUUAUUGUUAAAGGAAACUAUUUUUCCAGACUCUUUUCAAUCGUGACAUAAUUCGACCCUCGUUACACUCCAUUCAAUAAAGACCUACUUAUAUCUUAAAACGAGAGCAUUAUUACCAAUUAAAAUCAGUCCCGUCAUAAUAGUCUAAAGGAAGUACAGAGCUAACAACUUAAUGGUUCCUCUCUAACCUUUCAGACCAUGUAGAGCAAGUCGAAAAUAUACUACGUUCAUGUCAUUACAUCACAGCACACUACAUCAUGAACGAUCCAUGGAUCUUUUCAGUGUAACCAUUCAGACUACUACUAAUGAUGACAAUAGUAGUAGUAAUGAUACAAAUAUUGAUAAUAAUAAUAUUAAUAGCUACAUUUAUGUUGCGCAUGAUUGUAUCUAACCAGGGGAAUGCUCAAUGUGAGCAUUCAUCGAGGAUUAAAUUCCUACUAGAUACCCAUUUACUAGUGGAGAUUUACAAGUGGAAAUACUCAACUCAAUAGAAUUUUACUAUUGCAAAAGAAAGCAAUACGAAUCAUUUGUCACCCCAAUUUUCGCGCUCAUACUAAUGAACUCUUUCACGCAAAUAAUGUUUUGAAGAUUCAUGACUUAUUUUCCUAUAACUUGGGUAUAUUUAUGUA